GGAUAGCGCAGUCGGUUAGAGUGUGGUGCUGAUAACGCCAAGGUUGCAGGUUUGAUAUCUGUAUGCAAUA